rnacentral:rRNA from 1 species
UACGUAGGGUGCGAGCGUUGUUCGGAAUUACUGGGUGUAAAGGGUCCGCAGGCGGGCGAGCAAGUCGGUGGUGAAAGUUCAUGGCUCAACUGUGAAAUUGCCUUCGAUACUGCUCGUCUUGAGUCCGAGAGAGGAUGAUGGAAUUCAUGGUGUAGCAGUGAAAUGCGUAGAGAUCAUGAAGAACACCAGUUGCGAAGGCGGUCAUCUGGCUCGGUACUGACGCUCAGGGACGAAAGCGUGGGUAGCAAACAGG